UCCAACAUCACCCAUCAGGCCUGGAAUCCGAAGGAGAAGAGAAAACGAGGAAGACCAAGGAACACGUGGAGAAGGAACCUGGAGGCUGAUGUCAAUAAGACCGGUCACUCCUGGAGGGCGCUAGAAAGGAUCGUUGGGACGGUAAACGAUGGCGGGGAGCUGACGAUGUUCUCUACCCAACCAGAGGAAAAGGACGGACAGUGGACUGACUGACUGAAAGGACCGUCCGGGACCGAAGACGAUGACGGAGAGCUGAGGAUGACCUAUACCCAACCGGAGGUACAAGGACGGACGAUCGACAGACCGACCGAUUUAUGAAUGGCCUAAAUAGGAUCCAUUGGCCUCAAAAUCAUUGAACACACAACAAGAAAUGAGCAACCGCGGCAGGGCCACCGUUGGACAAGAGCAUCUAGUUGUAAUGGUCGAAACGCUCAAUGAUUACUUCUGAUGAUGUGUGCUCUAAAUGGGAUGGCAGAGUAGACCAAAGUACUGCAGGUGCAUUCUGGGCCACAAUGCUUUGAAACUUAGUUCCAUCAUUAGUUCAACACAAUCUCAUGUAUUUUAACCCAACCCUCACAGAACGUUUAAGCCCUCUUGUGGGGCACCCUCGGGGCAACUUCCUUUAUUUUCAUCGCCUAACCCUAACCAGAGGACACUUUUUUUUAAACAUUUGGGCUACUGCAACCCAAAUCACAAAUCCAUGAAAAAUGAACCUGGUGUUUGUUGAACUUUGUUAAUCUUAAACCUCUUGGCCACUUUUGACAAAGAAAAAGAAAGUUUCAGCCAAAUCCAUCAUAAAUCAGCAAAAAUUCCCCCCUGUGGCUGAGCGGCACGUGCGAUUGUGCUUUAAAACUUACAAUGGAUUACUCAUUUCAAAGCAGACAGACCAGACAAGUUCAAACACGACACAUCCUUCUCUGUCUCAAUCUCACCAAAAGAUAAUAUGGUUCUCCUCAUGUGUGAGCUUAAACCAGAACCGAGCGGACCGCGCCACCUGUGUGUGCACUCCAACCAGAAGGGACAGGAAGUGGACAGACCGCUCAACGUGCACAGCAGACCUCCAACGGCUUGAAGGUGUGACGGCUGGCAGCGGAUGUGGAUGACACAUGUUUGUGUUAACAAGCAGGAUGGGCCUUGCAGCGAGCCUGUCAUCCGCCUGUCUGAACCCUGUGGCUUGUUUCACACCUGGAAGGGCAAAAUUUGCACCUGAGCCGUUCUCAGACUCGUCAGACCGACUGAGCGCGCAGGCUUUUGUGUUCCCGCCGCUUUUGUCUUCCAUUCACAGCAAGCAGACACAAGUGGGGUUGGAGGGCUUUCUGAAAAAAGUUGGAUAAGCUGCCAGCCCCCCCUCCAUCCGAACCUGCCCCGACAGAUUCCUUUGAGGAUCCACUUGUAAUUAGAAAACAUCUAAGCUUAUUUAAACCUCUGAAAAUGUCCCAAAAGGGACUCCCAUUUGCAUCCAAACCUCCUCUGCCAGCAGCACACAUGUGUGGGCUUGAGGAGGAACUCUUGUUAUUGUUUACAGAUGGGUUACCAAGGGUGAAAUGCAGCAGGGACUGCUCAGGAGAAAGUCAGGAACAAUAAAAAAGUGGCUCAUGAAGGAGCAGAAGAGGAGAUGGACAGUCCAGCUGCAACCCAGAGAGACCAGAAUGCUCGAGUUGGAAAGAUGGAAUGAAGAAAAGUCAGCCAAAUCAGAGAGUUGCAAAUCCUUUCGGGAAGCAGGGGCAGGAAGACCAAAAAGGGCAAAUGAGAGACACUUUUUACCCAGCGCUGGGUUGGACGUGAGAGGAGCUCGUGACGUCCAGAGGCCCGUCUUCCCAAAACCCGCCUAAGCACUCUGAGAACUCGGACUUGGAUGAGUCACAGCCACUGACCUUUCUAAUGUGGCUUCUAAACAAGGAGAGGUUCUAGGAUUUCUAAGGACCUUUUGGGGCUUUUCUCCAGCAGUGUGUUGUGUUGGUGGAUGAAUGUCCUCAACACACUGCAGGAGAGCGUUUGAAUAACUGGGAAACAGUGAAUCCCCUUUUCUCCUUCCAAACUUUGGAGCACAAAGCAGAGUUGUAGUCACGAAUUCCUCCUUUAAAAAUGUUGGAAGCAGCUGAUGGAGUCUUCCCAGAGGACGUCAGGCCCAUUAAAGGUUUCUCACAUGCUGCUGAAGUGAGCCCCGCGUGGACUGUUAAAAUCCAAAUGUGCUUUUUGUCAUAAAUUACGGGUCUUUUUAGCUGCAGCUGCUAGAUAAAAACAAACGUGUGACCCUAAAUCUUCAGGCGACUGUUCCCAUGCUUCAUGCAUACACUUAUCAAUUAAUAACACUGCUUGAAAGGUAAUCCCAUUUAAAAACUAAAAACAUGCUCCUCUCAGUCCUCUGCACAGAAAGACCAUUGUAAGAGCAGCCCCUUAAAGCCAGGCUGCACCAGUUGUGGAGCAGAGCUCCAGUGACCCAACUUGGCAGAACCGGAGGAGGCCUUUGACAUUUUACUGUGGAAACUUGCAGUGGGUGUUGGCCCCAUCAGUGCGGAGACUCGCCGGCUGAUGAAUACUGCAAAACAGAUGUCCUAACUUCAGAGAUUCCCUCCAGUUCUGCUGUGAGAUAGCAAACAGGCAUGGCAGCUUUGAUCAACAUGAAAAUAAACAACCAGAUUUGGGAAACGACCCAGUCGAUGGAUAUUGAUUUGUGCAACUUGAUAGAUUUGUAUUCGAAUAGCAGAGUAAGUUGAUUUGAAUUGUUGUUUGUUGCAUUUUGAACCAGCAUCGUGCUUCUUGAAGCCACAGAUGAGAUCUCAAAUGAACGAAAAUGGAACAAUCAAGGGAGAGGUUUCAUGUAUGCAGACGGUGUAAACCUGCUGAGCACAGGAUGCUGGCGCUGGUGGCAGGAAAACGUCUCAGGAGGAGUGUUCUCCAGAAAUACCAGAGACUGGCAGAAACUUUGAUUUGCAUUCCUGUGUGCAGCUGGCUGCUCUGCAGCAAAAAUCUGACUACAGAAUUUCCUCUAGGAGCUAAAGUUACACGAAGCUCUGACCGAGGCUGCUGUGGGAGCCUUUAGGGCUUCACUCUGGUUUCACAGUUGUCACACCCCGAAUCUUGCAUUGAGCAAAAAUGUCAUCAACUAUUCCCACUCGUCAUCUCUGGGUUUGUCUCUCCUCCCGUUGAGGCUCUCAGGGCAUCUCCGUCUGUUUGCUGCCAUGAAGCUUUACUCGGUGACUAUAUGUGUGUAGAGGCGGCGUUCUGAGUCUCAGCUGGGUUCAAACGCCCAUGUGGGGCUAAAGUCCUGAAAACAGGUAAGCCACUGCACACCCGAAGGCGAACCAACAUGCUCACGUGUUUGUGUUCACAGAUGUGUGGGUACAUGUGCCAGAACCAUGGGGGGGUGGGUGAAGGUAAAGAAGACAGGAAGUGUGGUUCUUUACCAUCAUUCCACCAUCAUGCGACCAUCGUCUCUGAGGGCCGCAUGUGAGAGCCUGUGGUGCCGCCCAACACAACCUGCAGGGAAAUGAGGUUCUGAGAAGAGUGAAAACACACGGUAAAGCAUCAGGGAACCCGUGAGACCGGCCCAAAUGUUCCGUGACGGAUCCUCGCGGCUGUCUUACUCGUGUAUGUACCAGAGCCAAACAAGGCGAAAGUCGCCGCCCGCCGCUGUAAUUAUGUGCUUGUACAUGUCUCCUGUGUUUUCCUGCAGUUGAUGGUUGGAAUGAAGCAGAACUCAGACAAAGCUGUCACAACGCUUCCCAAUCACUGCCUACACUGCUGUGUUCUUCACAACACACUUUUGUGUGUUUGCUGAGGGCGUGCUCUGUUGUCGGCGUCUCGCUGGAACAAUACAAGUUUCUGGACAAAAAUGCAUCACGGAGGAAUCCUUUUGUGUGGUCCCACUUGAAUUUUUCCAUUCUCUUCCAUUCCUCCCACUGCCUUUUUGUCUGUCUGUGCUCACACACACACACAAACACACACCCAUGCACACAAACUGUGUUCAUAUUUUCCACGCCAAAUCCUCCAGUUGUGACUUCAUGCAGACCCUGCAGGCUCAAGGAUCCACUUUUUCCCGCUUUAAACUCUUGCGGCGUAUUUCAGAUUAGAAGGCUUCAGGUUGUUGACCUUUGAAUUAGUCUAAACACUUGUUUACUUUCUCCUGCCGGAGGCUGUGAGCCAUUUCAUUUCAGUGAUUCACACCCAGAUGUUGAAAUGUCAGAAGUAUUUUGUGGUUUCUGGAUUUUUAAUUAAUCUCUUGGGUAAUCUGCACAAUCAGUAAUCGCUGCUGGUUUUUAAGUCAGAAGAACCAAAUCACGAAAUCUUUAUUCUAGAGUAACUUGAUCUGAAGCUGCUAAGAAUAUUUGGAAACAAAAAUGUAAAGUCAAUCUGUGUUCAAAUCAUGAAGAGAUUUAAGUGACUUGAUGCAAAGCCCAGGUUUCUGUUUUUUAAAAAAGAGAGGAAGAUUUAUUGUAUCAACUCUGAUGAGAUUCAAACUGCUGAAACCUGGAUGGUGAAAAUGUUUUCUAUUUUUAAAAACUCGAAAGGAACUCUGGAGCCAGAAGGAAACGAGAAGCUGCUUUCUGAGCAGAGUCCAGCUCAGCCAAAGCGGAAGUUCAUGUGGCUGUCCUUCAAAAUAAAUGAGCGUUAAAAAAAAAAGUGAAGUAGUUUCUGUGUGGAGUUUGCAUGUGUGGGUUCAGUCCAAAAACAGACUUCAUAGGUUCACAGCUGUCUCUAAAUUGUUGGUUGUGGUUGUGUGUCUGUGUGGACCUCUGCUGGACUGGGAAACCGUCCAGGUUGAACCCCACCUUUACCUGAGAGUGUACCCAGGUAAACUCCAGUAACCCCAAACCCUAAACGGGAUAAGCAGGUUAAAAAGAUGGAUUGAUUAUGGAGACACA